GAGGCUUUUAAAAGCAUUUCCUUGCCAUGCAAUUGCCAUAACAAAUGUUUGGUUAGGUUUCAUUAUUUAAAAAACGGUCUGUAAUUAAAACAUGGUCCUGCCUAGUGCUUGGACACAAACUGUAAGAAAAGAAACUGCUUGGUCUUCCCACUCCAUCACUACCUGAGACAGCCCGAGAUAACAAUUAAACCACCAUGGUUGCAGUCUGUACUUUGUUAAAUGCUGUAAACUAUGGGGACAAUCAUGCCGUCUGGUUUGUGAGUGAGGCUUUCAUAGACAAUUGGUCCAGCCUUGCU
rnacentral:lncRNA from 1 species